AAUUUAGAGACUUAUUCAUUUAGCGACAAGUGUCAUUCAAAAUAUGUCUGGAUAAAAAAUUAAAAACGGCGGGUUAUUUUAAUAUGAUAGUUUAAUUCAAUUACCCAAUAAGUUAAAAACAAACUUAAAAAUAAUAAAUUAUUGAGGGGUUAUGUUUAGACCCCGGUUGGAGAUAUUAUAUAAAUGUAGUCUGACAUUGUUUAUUUAAAAACAAUUUUUUGCAGGGCUAUAGUUCUAGAUAGGGCUAUAUUUAGCCCUUUCAGUUAGAGAUGACCUUAUAACACACAUUGUCAUAGAGUUCGACAAUGUUACCGUUCAUGUAGCACACUAGUGAUCCAAUUAUACUUCCAUUCCUAACCGAGGUGUCUAUGGACCUCUUAUAUCUGCACUUACUGUGACACCAAGUAAUUUUAGCCCCCCUUGUUGGAUUUCUGAUUUUCUUUCUACUUGCACGCAUCUUAAAUUCCUGAGAACUUUCACUUGUCAGAUUUUAAGGUUGAUACUGGGGGCUAUCUGCCGGUGCUAUUGCCGGUAUUGUAGUAGCAGCAUUUAUGUCUGUCGCAUUGGUUUUGGUAGUCCUCCGAAUGGCUGGUUACUUAGGGGCUAAAAACGAAGAUGAAGUUUCUUGUGCCCCAAGGUAAUGGUCGAGUUCUUGUCAGCAGACGGCAGUGUCACUGCUAGCUCAAGCUAUCCGCGCGGGCCAAUUCACUUCACUGAAACAUUUCUCAAAACCACUCCUCUCAUUGCCGGUUUACAAUCAGGAACCCAAGUUCUGAACAUAAAAACGAUUGAACACAUUGAAGGGCUGCAGCCGACAGCGUACUUGAAAGUGGUACUAGAGCAAAGAGCAGAGUGUUCCAAAAUGGUGCGGGCAUACGUCAAAUUUACGCUGCAUCACUAGAGCUUGAAUCUGAACUUCCUCGGUUGAAAAGACUUUUCAACAUCAGUCUUGGUUGUUUGCUUCCAGUCUGGUAUUGGAAUCUGGCCGGAAGCUUUCAUAGGUUUCAUUUGCUCUUAUGUAAUUGAACAAAAAUUUGCAAUCAAUGUCACAACACGUUUCAGCAGAAAAACUCUGAGCAUGACAGAUGUGUAUCGAUAUUGUCAAAAAAGAAUGUACAACAUGUCAGUACGUUUUGUUGACGUUAAAAAAGUAUUGAUAACAUGUUCCAGAGUCCUUAGUUUGGUUAAAAAGAAAUUAAGAAUGCCUUUUCUGA